GUCCCUGUAGCGCAAUGGAUAGCGCGUUGGACUUCUAAUCCAAAGGUCGUGGGUUCGAAUCCGAAAAGGGAUG